CAGCAGCCGCGGUAAUACGGAGGAUCCGAGCGUUAUCCGGAUUUAUUGGGUUUAAAGGGAGCGUAGGUGGACAGUUAAGUCAGUUGUGAAAGUUUGCGGCUCAACCGUAAAAUUGCAGUUGAUACUGGCUGUCUUGAGUACAGUAGAGGUGGGCGGAAUUCGUGGUGUAGCGGUGAAAUGCUUAGAUAUCACGAAGAACUCCGAUUGCGAAGGCAGCUCACUGGACUGCAACUGACACUGAUGCUCGAAAGUGUGGGUAUCAAACAGGAUUAGAUACCCUGGUAGUCCACACAGUAAACGAUGAAUACUCGCUGUUUGCGAUAUACAGUAAGCGGCCAAGCGAAAGCAUUAAGUAUUCCACCUGGGGAGU
rnacentral:rRNA from 1 species